rnacentral:lncRNA from 1 species
CCUCUCCUAAGCACGCCAUAAUGAGCAUCGACCUUCCUCCCUCUUCUUUCUUUUUUGUUUCUCCCGUUGAAGUCAUGGAUACCCUCAUCGUGCUCAUCCAAAAUCCUUGUCGAAGACGUCACCAAAGCCAAGGUAAGGCCCCGAUCCUUCCUCCACUCUCUUUUUUCCUUCUUUCCAUGGUGUUUGGCACCAUUGCCGACCAUCAG